CAAGUUGAACGGGCCUUGGAGUGGUAGCAAUACCAUUUCGAGGUUAGUGGCGGACGGGUGAGUAACACGUAGGUAACCUACCCUUAGGCGGGGGACAACUCAGGGAAACUUGAGCUAAUACCGCAUAAAUCCAUCGGCUGGGAUGCUGGUGGGGAAAGUGGCAACACACCUAGGGAUGGGCCUGCGGCCUAUCAGGUAGUUGGUGGGGAAAGAGCCCACCAAGCCGAAGACGGGUAGCCGGGCUGAGAGGUUGAACGGCCACACUGGAACUGAGACACGGUCCAGACCCUACGGGAGGCAGCAGUGGGGAAUCUUGCGCAAUGGGGGAAACCCUGACGCAGCGACGCCGCGUGGAGGAUGAAGGUCUUCGGGUUGUAAACUCCUUUUCUUGGGGAAAAUGGUGAUGGUACCCAAGGAAUAAGCCACGGCUAACUCUGUGCCAGCAGCCGCGGUAAGACAGAGGUGGCGAGCGUUGUUCGGAAUUACUGGGCUUAAAGGGCGAGUAGGCGUCCCGGUAAGUCAGAUGUGGAAUCUUUUCGCUUAACGAAAAAAUUGCAUCUGAAACUAUCGGGAUUGAGUCAGUGAGGGGAGGGCGGAAUUCCUGGUGUAGCGGUGAAACGCGUAGAUAUCAGGAGGAAGGCCUGUGGCGA
rnacentral:rRNA from 1 species